GCUCAAUCCCCCGCCCCAUCUUAUCUCUUACUCCCACGCCACACUCCCACCUAAACCUAGGUCACCCACCGCCGCCGCCGCCGUUCCCUGACCUGCCUGCCGAUUUGCUCGCGCCGCCUCCUCUCCCAUCAACGGUGGCGCUUCCCGAAGCUUCCUUCUACCAUGUGGUGCUUCCCCACGGUCCAAGCCCAAGGUGCCGCCUCAUCGUCCGCAGCAGAGGAGCCCCUCCACCGCCCGCAGCCGAGGAGUCGAGUCGACCGCCGUCGAGGACCCGCGCCGCCAACCGCCAGCGUGUAGUCGACCGCCGCCGAGCAGCCUCGCCUGCCACCUGAAGCUUCGAUCUAACCCACGGUGACGCUGUCCGCAACCGAGGAGCCACCCUGCCCUCUACAUCCAGAGGUUCUGCCCCGCCAUCCCUUUUGCACCACCGGCGAGGGCCCCCAAAUUCAGCCCCUGCAGCCUGCAAGGAUCCCCAACCAUACUGGGUGCUAAUGCCUGAGGUAUGUACUGCUUGGAUUUGCUCAGCUAAAGAAACACAGCACAAUCAUGAUGUGUAUCAACAAUUGGUUCAUUGUGGCUAGAAGCCUUUUUUUAGUCUCAAACUUCCUGGGGGAGACUAGCGUGAUUUUUGGGCUUCACAUGAGAUGUGCAAUCCGGCCACCUGGACCAUUGGAUGUGUCAAGGCUGCAAAGCCUGACCGUUUUAUGCAAAACCCCAUGUUUUUAUCUCUGUUUUGCAUGUGAUCACACACUUGUAUGGUUUUGCAUAAACCACCAGUGCGAACAUUACAUUUCCUAGUUCAGUAAUCAUCCAUGUUCAGUCUGUAGCCUAUAAUGUACUCUGUAUAUUGCUCAAAAUGAUAAUCUUACUCUGUAUUUUGCUGGAAAAAAGGUUCUACUCUACAAUCUAGUACUCACUGAAAGCAUUCAAAAACUGUGUUAGACAAUUUUCACUAAACCUGCACGUUCCAGACCCAAAUUUUAUCUAACAAAAACACUAAAGCUCUAACAACAACACUAGAAGCUGUACCACCUAAUUGAGGUCAUUAAGUCAACAAGAAAUAGAAUAAGUAUAUUUACAACAUAUGCACCAGUCAUGUUUUUGAAGAUGCGAUGGCGAUCCCUUCAAAUCCGUAUUUCAAUAAUGCAAGAAAGGAACCAUUUAACAGCCAUUAUGGACAAACAUUUUCAUUUUGUUCUUUGGACAAAUACGGGUGUCGUGUAACCAAACUCCCUUGCAUGUGCUGCAAGUGCGUGGCACCUAAGAUGGCUGGAACACUAAGCAGAUCGGGUGGGCAUGCUAAGGCUGGCAAGGGUGAGGUGGAAUUAUGCAUCAUAAGCACCUGAAUCAGAUGGUCGCGUAAUUAUAUUAUCAUUCAUUGUUUUCAGACAAAAUGUUUAUUCCAUGGCUGGUAAUGUUAAGGCUCCUCUGUUACUUCUCAAAGCAACCACACGUUUUGUAGCAAUGUUGAUGCUGCACGCUUGCUGCCAAUUUGAUUCUGCAUUUAGUACUAUGCGAGUGAACUAAGAAAGUGUUGUUUCAGGCUAGUAAAGCAUCAUUGUGCACUUCUGGAACAACUAUCAUGGAAGUAUGGAACUAAUGCUAGCAAAACUACUCUGUGUUGUCGCCUGAGGAAAAAGAUGGAACUUUAUUUUCCUGCCCAACAUUCUUUUGGAAUCUCCUUUUUUAUAUGCCAUGCUUUUUCAAGCUAGUACAGAUAAAGAUCUAGCCACAAAGAUAAGGUAAUUUGUUUCUAAUCUACUACACCUUAUAUAUUCAGAGGUACAAAGGGAGCUUCUAUAUAUGCAAUUAUUCUCAGUUGCAACAUAAUUGUUCAGUUGAGCUACUGAACUUGCUGACAGGAAAAUGCUCAGGGGUAACAACUUGAAAAUUUUCUAGGUAACUAAAUAAGAUAUUCUGACGGUUUAAAAUAGACCACAUCCUAUUUGUGUCAGCCUACUAUAUUCUACAGUUACACUAAGAAUGGAAGUACACCAAUACCAGUUUGUUUAGGUCACUACAACAUUGUGGCUAUAGUGGGUGGAUUAGGAUGCAACAUCUGUUUGUAUCUGCUGGUAUGGCAAUUUUGCUGCUUGCUAGGAGAUGUUCAUCUCCAGCGUUUAUUGCAGUUUAAAAAGCAGUUCAAUCACCUUGUAAUAGUUAUGGUGUAGUAAGAUUUGGGUUAAAUAUCGGUUUGAUACACGCUGAAUUUUGAGUUAGUCUCCAAAUAGAAGUUGUAGUGUACUUCUUAAGCUUUCUAGAGUGUAUUUAUUUGUGUAUUUUUACUGGGCAGUUUGAGAGCAGCGACCACCUCAAGCUUGCCGUCCAAAAAUUAGUAUCUCUAUUCGGACAUGAUACUACAAAAGAAACAAUGCAUUGAUACUUUCCCCGUUCCUUGUAUGUUUGCUUGCUAUUUACAUAUUUAACCUUCCAAAAUAGGGCCACCAGUCAUGUCAGGAAUGCCAUUGUAUUAUUACCAUACUUGAACUGCUGGCCGACGAUGGUAAUUCAGACAGCCGUAUUAUUUGCAUUGCUAAACUAUCCUGGUAUAUAUUUAGGAUCCUACGCUACUUAUUUAGAUUACAAAUAAAUUUGUCAUGUUAAUGUUUAUGUCGGUAUAUGUGCCAGCUUACACCCAGAUUUGUUUUGCCUUAUGCAGAAACUACUGGAUACUUUACAUCAAGCUUGACCAAGUAUGUCCCUUGUUGCUGUUGUUAUACCUGGCGAUAGAGCUCCAUUGGUUUCUUCAAAGGUGGCAUGCCCUGAUUGAUUUAUUACUCUGUAGAGUGUGUAAAGGUUUUUCUGUUUAUGACUAUUUGGUGCUUUUAUCCAGCAAGGCAGUAAGUUCUUUUGCAGGGACAAAUGGCAGAAAAUAGCAAGUCCACAAGUUGAUCUAAGAUGCUCCGUGGUCGCUUUUGUUGAUAACAUGGUUGACACCUUUUGUUCAUACAAAAGUUCAUGUUGGCUUGGUGAUUGAAGAAUUGGUCUCUGCCAUCAAAUUUUGUAGUAGUCAGUGAUCAAACAAUUGGUCUCUUCGGAUCUUAGCCAUCAAAUUUUGCAACAACUUGUCUUGUAUGUCAAACUUAUGUAUUUCCUUGAUGGUUGUAGCUAUCUUGAGCGAAGAAAACAAAUUAAUCUUUAUAUAUGUUGAAUGAAUGUAUGGAUGAAUGGCAGUUUGUGAUGAAUAUAAGAGUGC
rnacentral:rRNA from 1 species